rnacentral:rRNA from 1 species
CCUACGGGGGGCUGCAGUGGGGAAUAUUGGGCAAUGGGCGCAAGCCUGACCCAGCAACGCCGCGUGAAGGAAGAAGGCUUUCGGGUUGUAAACUUCUUUUAUCAGGGACGAAGCAAGUGACGGUACCUGAUGAAUAAGCCACGGCUAACUACGUGCCAGCAGCCGCGGUAAUACGUAGGUGGCAAGCGUUAUCCGGAUUUACUGGGUGUAAAGGGCGUGUAGGCGGGAGUGCAAGUCAGAUGUGAAAACUAUGGGCUCAACCCAUAGCCUGCAUUUGGAACUACCGGGCUGGAGUGCCGGAGAGGUAGGCGGAAUUCCUAGUGUAGCGGUGAAAUGCGUAGAUAUCAGGAGGAACACCGGUGGCGAAGGCGGCCUGCUGGACUGCAACUGACGUUGAGGCCCGAAAGCGUGGGGAGCAAACAGGAUUAGAUACCCCAGUAGUC